rnacentral:rRNA from 1 species
UACGUAGGGGGCAAGCGUUGUCCGGAAUCAUUGGGCGUAAAGAGCGCGUAGGCGGUCCGGUAAGUCGGUUGUGAAAACUGGAGGCUCAACCUUCAGACGUCGACCCAAACCCCCUGGCUAGAGUCCGGAAGAGGAGAGUGGAAUUCCUGGUGUAGCGGUGAAAUGCGCAGAUAUCAGGAAGAACACCCGCGGUGUAGACGGCUUACUGGACCAUAACUGACGCUGAGGCACGAAAGCGUGGGUAGCAAACAGG